AGGGUAAUAGCUCAGUGAUAGAGCAUAUGCUUAGCAUGUAUGAGGUCCUGGGUUCAAUCUCCAGUGCCUUUA
rnacentral:tRNA from 1 species